rnacentral:rRNA from 1 species
AUUGAACGCUGGCGGCAGGCCUAACACAUGCAAGUCGAACGAGUGGCGGACGGGUGAGUAAUGUCUGGGAAACUGCCUGAUGGAGGGGGAUAACUACUGGAAACGGUGGCUAAUACCGCAUACCAUCGGAUGUGCCCAGAUGGGAUUAGCUAGUAGGUGGGGUAACGGCUCACCUAGUCGACGAUCCCUAGCUGGUCGGAGAGGAUGACCAGCCACACUGGAACGGAGACACGGUCCAGACGCCUACGGGAGGCAGCAGUGGGGAAUAUUGCACAAUGGGCUCAAGCCGGAUGCAGCCAUGCCGCGUGUAUGAAGAAGGCCUUCGGGUUGUAAAGUACUUUCAGCGAGGAGGCGUUACUCGCAGAAGAAGCACCGGCUAACUCCGUGCCAGCAGCCGCGGUAAUUC